rnacentral:lncRNA from 1 species
AAUUCAGGAAUAAUGAAUCUCACAUCCUAAUGAAAUUAAAUUCACGAAGGUAAACCAUACAAAAUGAUAGAUCAAAGUCACUAUUUGUUCAUGACUUGGUUUUUGAAAUAUCUUCUGCUAGGAGGAAGCUACUAUAACUGCAUGACUAAGUUACCAUAGAUAACACCAGAUAAAUCGAUGAUGCAAGUCCUUCAUACAUCUUUUGUCCAAAUUAUAUGCUUUGAUAGUUACUUGAUCUUAAUAAGUGUCUUUACUUGCUUGAACUGCUUGAGUAGAGUAAGAACGUCGUAACUUCAGGAAGUCUAUGAAUAUGAGCAAAAUAUAAAGAACACCAGAAGCCUCCUGUAAAAGUAAGUAACUUCUUCAUCAACCUUUUAAUUUAAAGUACAUUACCUUAAGAAAUACUGACAAAGAAGAAAUGCACCAAUCAUCCAUCAGUAAAAGGGCAUCUUAGAAAUAAAAUAUACCCCCUUGAAUAAAAUAGAUUUUUGUGACUGCCAAGAUACUGAGCAUGCACAAUUCAUAACAAAUCAAGGUUGUGAUUGGAAUAAUUUGCUUAAAUCAAGCAUAACAAUUAAAUAAUAGUUUGUAUAAAAAACAAAAGACACAUAUAGCCUAAAGUAACUCUUUCCACUGGCAUAUUGUUACCAAUUGAAGCAUGUGCAUGACUACAACCUAAAGAAAAUAAAAUAAAUAAAAUAAACACAAAAUAAGCACAACCAACACUACUGUUUCAAGGAAUUACUUAGACUGAUUUAGGUCGUACCAUCUUACUAAUAAACAUAAAUAUAUAGAAAAUAUUAUGCUGAGAGAUUGAACGAAAAGAGGUACCAAUAUAAUUAGUCAAUAGCCAUUACCAUUUGAACUGAUAGAGGAGGAGAGAAGCUU